CCAGACUCCUACGGGAGGCAGCAGUGGGGAAUCUUAGACAAUGGGCGCAAGCCUGAUCUAGCCAUGCCGCGUGAGUGAUGAAGGCCCUAGGGUCGUAAAGCUCUUUCGCCAGGGAUGAUAAUGACAGUACCUGGUAAAGAAACCCCGGCUAACUCCGUGCCAGCAGCCGCGGUAAUACGGAGGGGGUUAGCGUUGUUCGGAAUUACUGGGCGUAAAGCGCGCGUAGGCGGAUUAGUCAGUCAGAGGUGAAAUCCCAGGGCUCAACCCUGGAACUGCCUUUGAUACUGCUAGUCUUGAGUUCGAGAGAGGUGAGUGGAAUUCCAAGUGUAGAGGUGAAAUUCGUAGAUAUUUGGAGGAACACCAGUGGCGAAGGCGGC
rnacentral:rRNA from 1 species